rnacentral:rRNA from 1 species
GAUGAACGCUGGCGGCGUGCUUAACACAUGCAAGUCGAACGGUGAAGCCGGAGCUUGCUCUGCUGGAUCAGUGGCGAACGGGUGAGUAACACGUGAGCAACCUGCCCCUGACUUUGGGAUAAGCUCUGGAAACGGCGUCUAAUACUGGAUACGAGCUGCUAAGGCAUCUUCAGCAGCUGGAAAGAACUUCGGUCAGGGAUGAGCUCGCGGCUUAUCAGCUUGUUGGUGGGGUAACGGCUCACCAAGGCUUCGACGGGUAGCCGGCCUGAGAGGGUGACCGGCCACACUGGGACUGAGACACGGCCCAGACUCCUACGGGAGGCAGCAGUGGGGAAUAUUGCACAAUGGGCGAAAGCCUGAUGCAGCAACGCCGCGUGAGGGACGACGGCCUUCGGGUUGUAAACCUCUUUUAGCAGGGAAGAAGCGAAAGUGACGGUACCUGCAGAAAAAGCGCCGGCUAACUACGUG